UCUCUUCCCUCACACAGAUGUACACUCUCCAAGAUGUCUAAAAGGCAGUCCCAGUCCUCUAGUUCAGGUUGGAUAAGCGAACGUCUAAACUUUAGGUUGCAUGUUCCAUCUUUAAGGACAUCUGCCACAGACACAUACGGAUCGGAGCAAAAGUUAAAAAGGUUGUGGAACUGUGUCUUCAAUGCACAAUCACCCAGCCACACAUCCUCCCAAAAGCUGGUCUGACUCCCACUUUUAACAUUCAUAGCUCUCCCAAAAGCUGGUCGGCUACCAUUAUUGCCGCUCGAAACUUCGCAUGUGCGUCGAUCCCCUCCCUCCGGCUAUUUCCCCGCCGAUUCGAGACCGCAGUGAGCUCCGGCGCGUCACCCUCAUCCUCCCCGACCCCUUCACCGACUUCCACUAGCCAACCCCUCGCCGGAACAAAAUCGCCAUCGCCAUCCGAGCUACUGCUUCCGCCGCGGGCCCUCCUCUGGCCACCCCAGCUCCAACCGAGCCCACCCACAGGUAGCUCUCGCGUCCCUCGUACUCCCCCACCCUUUCCUCGCCGCCGGGAAACACUCCCAUCGUUGGAAUCGCCGUUCCCUGUGCUCCUCUGUUCCACAUCGCGACCAGGGACCUUUGUGCAACAAUAGAGUCAAGUCCAGGGGCUUUUCUGCAUUGUCAUAGACUCAGGUGAAUAGUCUUCUAGGGACCCAAUUGCUGAAAGCUUUGAAAAUCCAUAGUAAAUUGUAUAAAAUUCGUAAAAUAGCAAACGAAGAUGUUUUGGAAUCCUUGUAAGUAGAUCUAUGCAGUAGAUAUAUAUUCUUGUAUGUGUUAGUUGAAAAAUAUUGCUAUAGAUAUUUAUCUAUGCUUGUUAGGGAUAAAUUCAUAUCUGUAGUUGUACUGCUCCAAUUUCUGUGAAAUUUUUAUGGUAGGCUCUUAUUGUGAUGUGUGUGUUGUGGUAAAAAUUUCAAGUACAUUGAUGCAUGUAUGACUGAGUUAUUGAUUUAACUUGGAUAGUUCUUUAUAAAUGGUUUUAAAUGCUUUAUAAAUAAAAUAUAGAUGCUAAAAUGGAAAAUGUGAUUCCACUGCUCUUGUAUGGUGUUAUGUUGAUCUAGUAAAGUGUAAUAUGGUCAUGUGUUUACAGAAAAUAUGAAGUUUUACAUUUAACUUGCUCUCACACGAUUAAGUGCAACAAAGAUUUGUAUUUUUUAUAAUCAAUAAAAUAUAAAACCCGAGCAUGUGAAAUUUCUGUAGUAUCUUAAUCCUUGCAUGCGUAGUUCACUGUAAAAUUUUCAUGUGCAGAAGCUAUGUGCAUGUUUGUAAUUCUGUUUUUGUUCAGUUUGUCUUGCUAAGGCUAAAAUAAAUAUUUUUUGUCAUCAAUAAAAGUUGGUAAAAUAUUUUUGCCUGCUUUAGCAAUGCUACAUCAUGUUGAUGAAAUUUGGUUACCAUUUUAUGCUUGCAAGUUAUGUUUUUGGCAUAUCCUUUUUUAUAUUUGUUGCUAGACAACUAUUUCUGUAGGUCUCGUCUUAAUAACUCAUGUUGAUCUUGUAUAAGUUAGGUAACUUCUUUAAAGAUCAGAAUUUGGGUUACUGCUUGGUGUUUGAAUCUUAUGGUUGUCAACGCUCUUGCGUAACAGCCUAAGUGAUUCCUUGCUUGAUAGUAACGAGUUGGCCAGUUGCACAAUCAUAAACUCGGAGCAAAUCUUAUGAUUCUGAUUUGGGUGAAUAAAUGUGCAUUGCUCAAAGUUAUGUGCAUCAGUAAUUUGAUUUACUGCUGAAGUUGUGUGGACCUUUACCUUUGUAUAUAACAUCUGGAUUUCUACAAUAUGCUGCCAUGAAUGAUAUGUCUUCUGCAGGUUGGGUCUUGUGGCUACUAUUAAGGUCAGGAAUCUGAUGUUUAUUGUCAUUAUAGUAUUAGUUAAUAUAUCUACCUAGAUUUUUUAGAUAGUAACUUCGUUAUACCUGCAAGUGCUAGCUGUGAUUUACUAUUUAUAGGUGUGCUGAUAAAAGGUCCAAAAGGUCACCCCACUGAGCCAAAAGGUCCUGGGUUCGAGUCAGCCUCUCUGCAUGCAGGGGAAAGGCUUGCCUUGGUUAUUCCUUCCCCAGACCCCACUCACGUGGGAGCUACCAGCACUGGGUCUGUCCUUUUAGAUGCAAGUGCAGGAAUUGGGCGGCCAGUGAGGCCUCAGAAGCGACCCAACAAGUACACUCCAGGCAGUAGAGUGAUAAGACGACGCAAGCGCUGAACCGUAGGGUCUCAGGAUUAGCUCAUGCUUUUGCAAAUUUAUGUAUACCUAAACUGUCCUUAAUAUGUGCUCUGAAAGUCCUAAGUGAAUGCUACAUGAGACACAUGUAUCCUUGCAUGUUUGCUGGGAGCAUCCUUGACACUUGUGAAAUUUGAAAUUAUGGUUACCUGUCCUAAA